AUGUGGAUUCAGUGUGAAGAGUGUUUGAAAUGGAGAGGAAUCAGCACUCACCUGUUUGCUGGAAGCGUUCCUGAUCCGUUCAGAUGCAGCAUGCACCCAAUACCGAGCUUACGGAGCUGUUUGUUACCGGAGGAUACGGAGGAAAAUGCUGAAGUCAGAACACCCAGCUAUGAAAAAACACUCAAAAAACAGGAACAUGCCACCAUCAAGAGAAGAGGAAGAUCUCUAGAGAUGAGUAAAAGCCCGGUGCGUCCUCUCUGUCGAGGACUAUCUGAACCUGCAUCAGAGAGCAAACAGGAUGAGGUCACAGUUACCAUGACGACAGAUACACAGGAUACAGAUGAGGAUGAAGUCAGCGUUGUUGUCACAGAAGAAGAAGAGUCUUCACCCUCCCCGAGGUCUGACAGAUACACAACUGGGACAUUUACCCACAUUAAAGAAUCACUUUUGCAGUCACUCGUCAUUAGGAAGGAUGCAAGUACACAAAUGCAGAUGAAAAUUCUUAGUUGAUGCAUUGCAGUGCAUUUAACAUGUUUAACAAACAUUGCUGGGUUACUGUGGUAGUGACAAACAACAAACUACAGUAUUUAAGUGGGAGUUAGAGUGACCUUCAACUGUGACUUUAAACCAGAUAUGAUAUUAUUCAGGAAGCUUUUAAUAAAUAUUCUUAUAUAAAUUGUAUAGAAAAUAUAAUAUAGAGUUUAUACUAAAUUUGACUAAAUUUUUUCUGUUUUAAUGUCAAUUUUUAAAAAAAGAAAAGAGAAAAAAAUAAGUGUAAAAAAUAUAACAAUUUAAUCAAUUUAAUUUAACUGGGUCUUUAUACAUGAAAAUUUAAAGCUGCCUUUAAACUUAAGCGGGUCCUGCAUAGGAAAUGAGCAGGUCUAACUUUUAGCUAACUUAUUUUAACUAACUUUGCUCACUUAUUUUUUAGAAAAAGAAGGAAAGAAACAACUUCAGACACUGAAAAGGGCAAUAAGUCCCCAACCAUGCUGAAUCUCCAGACGUCCCAUCUGAGGGAGAGACAGAAACACCGGACAAAGCGCAUGAAGGAUCAGAGACAAACAGCAGCACAUCACCAGCGGUGGAUACGGUGGCUCAGGAGGACACUAUUCAGCUAGAAGCCACUGUACUCGAGGGCCCCAUUGAGCCCCAGACAUCUCAGGGGCCACAGAUGCCCAAAGAUCAGCCCAGGAUCCCCCCUCACCCGCUCUCACCACACUCCUCCACAACCAUGGCUCAGACAGUGGUCGUCACUCCUCUCAGCCGGCCGGGAUUUCAGCCCGUGUCGCCGUUACCCGCAGACGGUUCGGACCGUGCGGCGCUUGCUCAUAGACUUGCUCAGCUGGAGCGGGAAGCCAAGCGGCUGAAAAGAAUCCUGGGCAUCCGUGAGCCAGAGGUUGCCAUGGUGAUGGAGGCGGAAGGGGGUGGGCCUUCUGAUGUCACCACGGGUGAUUCAGUGUCAUGUGACCAAAAUGCAGAAAGAUUGAACCCAAUGUCAAAUGAGUCUAGGACGGAGGAACUUUCUGUUUGUCAGGUAAGAAUGCCAGCAGCCAAUCAAAUUUCAGUGGCUAAUGCCAAAUCCAAGUGGCUAACUGUUAUGAAAAUUAAUGUAUUUGUACAGAACAUCUUAUUUAAAUUAGUAUGUGGGCCAAUUUUCCACAAGGUGGCGAUAUAAUAAGCAACUUUGCAUUUUGCAAAUAUUGUGAUAGAAUCAGAAUUUGUUUCUUCUAAAUCCUUGCUUUAAGCCAUAACAAGUGUAUAUCUCAUUGUUUAUUUAUAAAAUGCAUUAUAUAUUUAGAAUAUAUAUCUAUAUAUAUAUAUAUAUAUAUAUAUAUAUAUAUAUAUAUAUAUAUAUAUAGUGUGUAAUAUAUAUAUAUAUAUAUAUAUAUAUAUAUAUAUAUAUAUAUAUAUAUAUAUAUAUGUGUGUAUACAGCUGUGUUAUAAUUAGUAUAAUUUAGUGACAGUAUAAACAAUUACUCAGACAAGAUUUGCUGUAGUAUAUAUUGCUUGGCAUGAUUAUACAAGUAUGUGGAUAAAGUGAGAUGUACAGAAAAUCAUGAUAUCAGUAUUUUAAAAUGUUGAUGCCUUACAGUCGCAUUUAGCAGAUUAGAGCUGGGCGAUAAUAUAGCUAUAUUUUGCGACAAUACAAACAGUUCAGAUUUGAUUAAUGUCAAAUCUGAAUGGCCAACUGUUAUGAAAAGUUAUAUAUUUGUACAUCUUGUGAAAAUUAGUAUGUGUACCAAUAUUUGUAAAGACCAACCACAAGGUGGCGCUAUAAGCAAUUUUUCAUUUUUGCAAAUAACUCUACAUUAGAACCAGAAUUUUAAAUAUAUAUUCUAAUAUAUAUAUGUGUGUGUGUGUGUGUGUGUGUGUGUCCAAUAGUGAGAUAUAUUCAAAUUUAUACAUAGAGCUUUGCGAUAAUAUGGAUAUAUUUUCUGACUAAAAUAAAAAAAUUAAGCAAACCUAUAAUUUUGUAUAUAUACUAUUUUUCAUUUUUGCAAAUAACUCUACAUUAGAACCAGAAUUUUAAAUAUAUAUUCUAAUGUGUGUGUGUGUGUGUGUGUGUGUGUGUGUGUGUCCAAUAGUGAGAUAUAUUCAAAUUUAUACAUAGAGCUUUGCGAUAAUAUGGAUAUAUUUUCUGCAAAUAAAAAAUUAAGCAACCAUAAUUUGUAUAUAUACUGUAUAGUAUAUAAAAUGUAUUGCUGAUUAUUUGUAUGCAGAUAAAGUAGGAUGUACUAUAUAUAACCAUCUUUUAAAGGGGUCAUAUGACAUUGCUAAAAAUAAUUUAUUUGGUGUAUUUGGUGUAAUGCAACGUGUUUGUUGUUUAAGGUUCAAAAAACAUUAUUUUCCCCAUACUGUACAUUAUUGUUGCUCCUCUAGGCCCCGCCUUUCUGAAUUGCGUAGAUUUUUACAAAGCUCAUUGUUCUGAAAAGCGAUGAGUGCUCUGAUUGGCCAGCUAUCCAGUGCUUUGUGAUUGGCCGAAAACCUCCAGCAUGUGACAGAAAUGUUAUGCCCCUUACCUUAUUGUGAUGUGGUGUGUCCUGGCGCGACAAGACAAAACAAUAAAACCCAUUACAAACGAGGCAUUUUUUUGCAUCCAGUGGGGACAUAAUUACUGAUUAUAUUCACUUAUACUGUCUUUUUACGCAUUGCGCAUCACGCCGCAUAAACAUAAAACCAUGUCUGCAUUUGUGAUCUGAGAAACGACAAACAACAAGCUCUACUCUACACUGCUCAAAACUAGCGUUUGAAUCGUCAGUGGCAAAUUCUUUAAAUAUGAAAACGUACUUACAGGCUGUGAGUCAGAGGCGCCAAACUGUCCUUGCAAAGUUGGAAUUGCCCCACUUUAUAGAAACAGCUUUGAGCACAGCCUACCCAGGUUCAGGAAACAGUCCUCCAUAAAAUGUGCUGCACACAUCUGAAUAUUUGGGUUGAACUGUUCUGGAACAGUGUUGUAAAUACAACUUAACCACUGAUUUCUAGUUGUGUCCUCUUUUGGAAGACCAAAGAAAGUAGUUUCACUUUCACAACAAAACACACAGUGUCUCUAAGACAAGGCGGUGGC
rnacentral:lncRNA from 1 species